rnacentral:misc_RNA from 1 species
CGCGAUCUGAAUUAAUAUAAUUCACGUAUGAGUUCAGAAUUAGUGUACCAACUAAGCCUGCUGACUACCCCUCGAGUAUCCUAUAUCUGAGUGGCGUACCGCUUACCCAUAGCAUGAUCGAAGACGAAUGGUGUUUCAGGUAACCAUGCGUUUACGCUAUAAAGUAUUAAUGCACCUCAUAGAAGAACAAAGUUGUGGCAGUCUGCCCCUUCACAAACCACAACACCAACCCCACCCCACACCCACCUCUCCUCUCUUCCUUCUCCCUUUAUCUUUCUCUCGUUUGGCCAUACCCUUUUCCUGUUUAACUUGAGUUUUUCCUAAUUUACCUAUAUGCAUGCAUUCAUGUUACAAGCUUUGGAUAUUGAUG